rnacentral:rRNA from 1 species
AGAGUUUGAUCCUGGCUCAGAACGAACGCUGGCGGCGCGUCUUAAGCAUGCAAGUCGAACGGCAAGAGGGAAGCUUGCUUCUCUCCUAGAGUGGCGAACUGGUGAGUAACGCGUGGGUGACGAACCCUUAGGGAUGGGGAUAGCCGGUAGAAAUACCGGAUAAUACCGAAUAGGUUCGUUGGGGUAAAGACCAACGAGCAAAGGAGCUUCGGCUUCGCCUUAGGAUCGGCCCGCGUACUAUUAGCUAGUUGGUGAGGUAACGGCUCACCAAGGCGACGAUAGUUAUCCGGCCUAAGAGGGUGAACGGACACAUUGGGACUGAGAUACGGCCCAGACUCCUACGGGAGGCAGCAGCUAAGAAUAUUCCGCAAUGGAGGGAACUCUGACGGAGCGACGCCGCGUGAACGAUGAAGGCCGGAAGGUUGUAAAGUUCUUUUGAAUGCGAAGAAUAAAGUCCAGAGGAAAUGCAGGACAGAUGACGGUAA